AUAGGGGAUAGGGUGCCAUUUGAGACGUUCCCCCAAAGAGCAGAUGAAAUGUAAACCUGUUUGUUUGUUUGUUUGUUUGUUUGAGGAAACACUAAUAAAUUCCCGGAGGGACAUGUCGUUCCAGGCGUCAUCACAGACUGAAUUAAAAGAUGGGGGAAGUUCCAUGUUUAUUAUUGUCCUUCGUCAUUAUUAUCAUCAUGAAAUCAUCUCCCAUGAGGAAGUGCUGAGUGCCACGGUAUGUACCGUGUCGAGUGAAAAUGGUGGAUGACAACAGCACCACUAUUCUCUAUAAUCUACUCAUUUCAUGACCAGAGUCAGCUAUAUCAUUUACAGUUCUGGUAAGAGCUCUUCAAUCAUUGGUUCUUCUCUGGUGGUUCCGAAAGCAGGUGAUUGGUUUUUCUCUGGUGUUUCCGAAAGCAGGUGAUUGGUUCUUCUCUGGUGUUUCUCGAAAGCAGGUGAUUGGUUCUUUGGUUCUCUGGUGUUUCCCGAAAGCAGGUGAUUGGUUCUUCUCUGGUGUUUCCGAAAGCAGGUGAUUGGUUCUUCUCUAGUGUUUCCGAAAGCAGGUGAUUGGUUCUUCUCUGGUGUUUCUGAAAGCAGGUGAUUGGUUCUUCUCUGGUGUUUCCCGAAAGCAGGUGAUUGGUUCUUCU
ensembl:lncRNA